rnacentral:tRNA from 1 species
GGUUCCGUGGUGUAGUGGUUAACACGUCUGCCUGUCACGCAGAAGAUCGAGGGUUCAAGUCCCUUCGGAACCGCCA